rnacentral:rRNA from 1 species
UCGGGAAUUUUGGGCAAUGGGCGAAAGCCUGACCCAGCAACGCCGCGUGAAGGAUGAAGUAUUUCGGUAUGUAAACUUCGUAAGAAUAGGAAGAAUAAAUGACGGUACUAUUUGUAAGGUCCGGCUAACUACGUGCCAGCAGCCGCGGUAAUACGUAGGGACCAAGCGUUGUUCGGAUUUACUGGGCGUAAAGGGCGCGUAGGCGGCAUGACAAGUCACUUGUGAAAUCUCUGGGCUUAACCCAGAACGGCCAAGUGAUACUGUCGCGCUAGAGUGCAGAAGGGGCAAUCGGAAUUCUUGGUGUAGCGGUGAAAUGCGUAGAUAUCAAGAGGAACACCUGAGGUGAAGACGGGUUGCUGGGCUGACACUGACGCUGAGGCGCGAAAGCCAGGGGAGCAAACGGGAUUAGAUACCCUCGUAGUCCCUGAGCGGGCUGGCAAGGCGCAU